CAACUGCUGAGGAAUCCAAAAAUAGGACGAAAUGGUCAUCCAGUGC
rnacentral:hammerhead_ribozyme from 1 species